rnacentral:lncRNA from 1 species
CGAAAUUGGAGAACGAAUUCGUGCGUGAUAUGAUAGGUAAUAAAUAUCCGAUUCUUAAUUUUGUACCACAUCCGGAGAACGCGUGUACUGUAAUUUGCAUGAUUGCAUCUUUGUGGAGAACAAUCGCGGCAAAAUGUCAUUUUCCAGCGCAGGAACGGAAGGGGCUUGUCAAGCACUCAAUGCUCUGGCCGAUCUUUCGCCUUCACGGAUCAUCACGGCUCUCAUGUUUGGUCGUGAAACCAGCAAGCAGCACAUAAUUUAAUCAAGAAAAGAAAAGUUGUACUCCUACUUCGAAUCGAUCUUCGAUCAAACGGUCAAAAAAGCAGCCUGGAUCAUUCUGCUCAGCUUCUUCAACGAACAAAUGUUCAGAUUUCUACAACAAACAAAUGUUUGAAACUUGCAACCAGUAG